GGGAAGAAGAGAAGAGGGGAAAGCAUAUUGCACUCUCUGGCAUUCCGGAGAGUAUGCCUGUUUGAGGGUCGUUAACAAGAACCUUCCACCACUUUUUUUGGUUAAAGGAUAUGAGUUUUCCGCGUUUAUAGCGGUAGCUUGAAAUAAAUGGUCAAGUAACUUUUUAGUAGAGACGCGUAAUCAUAUUAUUUCGUGAAAUCUUCAUUAUAUGACUAUCAAGUUUUGAUGCAUACAAAUUUGUUUUGUAUGCGAUCAAUCCAAAUAUUUUGAA
rnacentral:misc_RNA from 1 species